rnacentral:rRNA from 1 species
UGUGAGCUCGAUGAGUAGGGCGGGACACGUGGUAUCCUGUCUGAAUAUGGGGGGACCAUCCUCCAAGGCUAAAUACUCCUGACUGACCGAUAGUGAACCAGUACCGUGAGGGAAAGGCGAAAAGAACCCCGGCGAGGGGAGUGAAAAAGAACCUGAAACCGUGUACGUACAAGCAGUGGGAGCACGCUUAGGCGUGUGACUGCGUACCUUUUGUAUAAUGGGUCAGCGACUUAUAUUCUGUAGCAAGGUUAACCGAAUAGGGGAGCCGAAGGGAAACCGAGUCUUAACUGGGCGUUAAGUUGCAGGGUAUAGACCCGAAACCCGGUGAUCUAGCCAUGGGCAGGUUGAAGGUUGGGUAACACUAACUGGAGGACCGAACCGACUAAUGUUGAAAAAUUAGCGGAUGACUUGUGGCUGGGGGUGAAAGGCCAAUCAAACCGGGAGAUAGCUGGUUCUCCCCGAAAGCUAUUUAGGUAGCGCCUCGUGAAUUCAUCUCCGGGGGUAGAGCACUGUUUCGGCAAGGGGGUCAUCCCGACUUACCAACCCGAUGCAAACUGCGAAUACCGGAGAAUGUUAUCACGGGAGACACACGGCGGGUGCUAACGUCCGUCGUGAAGAGGGAAACAACCCAGACCGCCAGCUAAGGUCCCAAAGUCAUGGUUAAGUGGGAAACGAUGUGGGAAGGCCCAGACAGCCAGGAUGUUGGCUUAGAAGCAGCCAUCAUUUAAAGAAAGCGUAAUAGCUCACUGGUCGAGUCGGCCUGCGCGGAAGAUGUAACGGGGCUAAACCAUGCACCGAAGCUGCGGCAGCGACACUAUGUGUUGUUGGGUAGGGGAGCGUUCUGUAAGCCUGUGAAGGUGUGCUGUGAGGCAUGCUGGAGGUAUCAGAAGUGCGAAUGCUGACAUAAGUAACGAUAAAGCGGGUGAAAAGCCCGCUCGCCGGAAGACCAAGGGUUCCUGUCCAACGUUAAUCGGGGCAGGGUGAGUCGACCCCUAAGGCGAGGCCGAAAGGCGUAGUCGAUGGGAAACAGGUUAAUAUUCCUGUACUUGGUGUUACUGCGAAGGGGGGACGGAGAAGGCUAUGUUGGCCGGGCGACGGUUGUCCCGGUUUAAGCGUGUAGGCUGGUUUUCCAGGCAAAUCCGGAAAAUCAAGGCUGAGGCGUGAUGACGAGGCACUACGGUGCUGAAGCAACAAAUGCCCUGCUUCCAGGAAAAGCCUCUAAGCAUCAGGUAACAUCAAAUCGUACCCCAAACCGACACAGGUGGUCAGGUAGAGAAUACCAAGGCGCUUGAGAGAACUCGGGUGAAGGAACUAGGCAAAAUGGUGCCGUAACUUCGGGAGAAGGCACGCUGAUAUGUAGGUGAAGUCCCUCGCGGAUGGAGCUGAAAUCAGUCGAAGAUACCAGCUGGCUGCAACUGUUUAUUAAAAACACAGCACUGUGCAAACACGAAAGUGGACGUAUACGGUGUGACGCCUGCCCGGUGCCGGAAGGUUAAUUGAUGGGGUUAGCGCAAGCGAAGCUCUUGAUCGAAGCCCCGGUAAACGGCGGCCGUAACUAUAACGGUCCUAAGGUAGCGAAAUUCCUUGUCGGGUAAGUUCCGACCUGCACGAAUGGCGUAAUGAUGGCCAGGCUGUCUCCACCCGAGACUCAGUGAAAUUGAACUCGCUGUGAAGAUGCAGUGUACCCGCGGCAAGACGGAAAGACCCCGUGAACCUUUACUAUAGCUUGACACUGAACAUUGAGCCUUGAUGUGUAGGAUAGGUGGGAGGCUUAGAAGUGUGGACGCCAGUCUGCAUGGAGCCGACCUUGAAAUACCACCCUUUAAUGUUUGAUGUUCUAACGUUGACCCGUAAUCCGGGUUGCGGACAGUGUCUGGUGGGUAGUUUGACUGGGGCGGUCU